AGAGUUUGAUCCUGGCUCAGGAUGAACGCUAGCGGCAGGCUUAAUACAUGCAAGUCGAGGGGCAGCACAGGUAGCAAUACUGGGUGGCGACCGGCAAACGGGUGCGGAACACGUACGGAACCUUCCUUUCAGCGGGGGAUAGCCCAGGGAAACUUGGAUUAAUACCCCAUAGGAUUGUAGAGUGGCAUCACUCAGCAAUUAAAGAUUUAUCACUGAAAGAUGGGCGUGCGUAUGAUUAGGUAGUUGGUUGAGGUAACGGCUCACCAAGCCUUCGAUCAUUAACUGGUGUGAGAGCACGACCAGUCACACGGGCACUGAGACACGGGCCCGACUCCUACGGGAGGCAGCAGUAAGGAAUAUUGGUCAAUGGACGCAAGUCUGAACCAGCCAUGCCGCGUGAAGGAUGAAGGUCCUCUGGAUUGUAAACUUCUUUUAUCUGGGACGAAACCCGGGAAUUCUUUCCCGAUUGACGGUACCAGAGGAAUAAGCACCGGCUAACUCCGUGCCAGCAGCCGCGGUAAUACGGAGGGUGCAAGCGUUAUCCGGAUUUACUGGGUUUAAAGGGUGUGUAGGCGGACUUUUAAGUCCGUGGUGAAAUCUCCGGGCUCAACCCGGAAACUGCCAUGGAUACUAUUGGUCUUGAAUAUUGUUGAGGUGGGCGGAACGGGUCAUGUAGCGGUGAAAUGCAUAGAUAUGACCCGGAACACCGAUUGCGAAGGCAGCCCACUAAGCAAUGAUUGACGCUGAGGCCGAAAGCGUGGGGGAUCAAACAGGAUUAGAUACCCCGGUAGUCCAAAUCACUAUGAA
rnacentral:rRNA from 1 species